GCAUACCGACAGAGUGGCAGAGCAGCCUCCAGUGCUGCCUGCCGUCUGCUAAUUGCCGCCUGGCCGCAAAUGCGAUCUCUGCAAAUAUUGGUGCAUAUAUUGGCAUUAGUUGUGCUGCUACUCCACGCUUCCACUCCACCUCUCUCCUCCUCUUUAUAUGGGCCAAAAACAAACUAGUUGGCCAUAGAAAAUUAUUUGUUUGUGGCAAAUCACGUUUCAGUUGGCUAAAAGUUUAGCCAAACCGACAACAGUCGUUCUACG
rnacentral:lncRNA from 1 species